GGGGUUGUGGCUUAGUGGUAGAGCACUUGCCUAGCAUGCAUGAGGCACCGGGUUUGAUUCUCAGCACCA
rnacentral:tRNA from 1 species